AACCCCUACUCCUCAGUUGCCAUCAUUAAGUUGGGCGACUCUGUGGAGACUGCCGGUGUUAAACCGGAGGAAGGUGGGGAUGACGUCAAGUCCUCAUGGCCCUUAUGACCAGGGCUACACACGUGCUACAAUGGCAUCUACAGUGGGCAGCUAUUCCGCAAGGAUGCGCUAAUCUCCAAAAGAUGUCUCAGUUCGGAUUGUCCUCUGCAACUCGAGGGCAUGAAGGCGGAAUCGCUAGUAAUCGCGGAUCAGCAUGCCGCGGUGAAUACGUUCCCAGGCCUU
rnacentral:rRNA from 1 species